rnacentral:rRNA from 1 species
AAAUGAAUAGACGGGGGCCCGCACAAGCAGUGGAUUAUGUGGUUUAAUUCGAAGCAACGCGAAGAACCUUACCAGGUCUUGACAUCGUGCGCAUAGCCUAGAGAUAGGUGAAGCCCUUCGGGGCGCAUAGACAGGUGGUGCAUGGUUGUCGUCAGCUCGUGUCGUGAGAUGUUGGGUUAAGUCCCGCAACGAGCGCAACCCUUAUUGUUAGUUGCUACGCAAGAGCACUCUAACGAGACUGCCGUUGACAAAACGGAGGAAGGUGGGGAUGACGUCAAAUCAUCAUGCCCCUUAUGACCUGGGCUACACACGUAAUACAAUGGCGAUGAACAGAGGGCGGCCACACCGCGAGGUGGAGCGAAUCCCUAAAAAUCGUCUCAGUUCGGAUUGCAGGCUGCAACUCGCCUGCAUGAAGUCGGAAUUGCUAGUAAUCGCGGAUCAGCAUGCCGCGGUGAAUACGUUCCCGGGCCUUGUACACACCGCCCGU